rnacentral:rRNA from 1 species
CCUACGGGAGGCUGCAGUGGGGAAUAUUGCACAAUGGGGGAAACCCUGAAGCAGCGACGCCGCGUGAGUGAAGAAGUACUUCGGUAUGUAAAGCUCUAUCAGCAGGGAAGAAAAUGACGGUACCUGAGUAAGAAGCCCCGGCUAACAACGUGCCAGCAGCCGCGGGAACACGGCGGGGGCAAGCGUUAUCCGGAUUUACUGGGUGUAAAGGGAGCGUAGACGGGAGUGCAAGUCUGGAGUGAAAGGCGGGGGCUCAACCCCCGGACUGCUGUGGAAACUGGACGGCUGGAGUGCGGGAGAGGUAAGUGGAAUUCCUGGUGUAGCGGUGAAAUGCGUAGAUAUUAGGAGGAACACCAGUGGCGAAGGCGGCUUACUGGACUGUAACUGACGUUGAGGCUCGAAAGCGUGGGGAGCAAACAGGAUUAGAUACCCUGGUAGUC